AUAAUAUGAAUUGUAGAUCUGAAUCUGUCCUUACUAAGGCAAAGGAACUGACUUUUGCAUUUGAUCAUCAAGUUAGUGAACGAGAGCCUGCGUGAGAGCUGUGACCUUCCAGAAACUUCUUGCUCUGCACUUCCGGGACAACUGGGUCUGGCUAAGAGGAUGUUCUUUACUGUUGAGAAAUGUCCACAAAGAACAAGAAGGAAGAGUCUUGACAAAGGACAUCAGUCACAGGAAAAGGCUGUGGAUGUUCACCUACCAAGGAUGGACCCAGUCAGAAAUUGCUACCAAGGGUAGCUUCAGGAAGAAGAGCUGAAGAACCUCUGAUCCUAAAUGUAAUCACAGAGAUGAAUAAAACACGGGAGAGUUGAGAGUGAAUUAGAUCUCAACCAAGAAAACAAAACUAUCAUUCAUUCAACAAAAACAAAGCAAAACUUAUCCAGGGAAGGAAAAUAAUCCAAUUUGUCUCAUGAUGAUCAAGGAUAGAAUUUGUAGAGCCAUACAACAAAAGCGAUCAGAGAGACCCUAUAGACGGGUCUUCCUUCAGAUUUGUGUGGUCAAUCUUUGCUCCUCAUGAAGUAUCAGAGUUCACUGCGGUUUGCAUUGCUCAAGACAAUGUGCUGUGAGUUUCUGUAUCU
rnacentral:lncRNA from 1 species